rnacentral:rRNA from 1 species
CGAGAAUAGUCUACAAUGGACGAAAGUCUGAUAGUGCGACGCCGCGUGAACGAUGAAUCCCUUCGGGGUGUAAAGUUCUUUUAUAUGUGAGCAAUGCUGGUUAGGUAAAUAGCUUAAUCAGAGAGAUAUUAGCAUAUGAAUAAGCAACGGCUAACUCCGUGCCAGCAGCCGCGGUAACACGGGGGUUGCAAGCGUUGUCCGGAAUUACUAGGCGUAAAGGGCAGGUAGGCGGAUCGUUAAGUUUGAAGUUAAAUCCAGCGGCUCACCCGCUGAGCAGCUUCAGAUACUGGCGAUCUGGAAUACGGUUGGGGAAGACAGAAUUCCUGGUGUAGCGGUGGAAUGCGCAGAGAUCAGGAGGAAUACCAAAGGCGAAGGCAGUCUUCUAAGCCGUUAUUGACGCUAAACUGCGAAGGUGUGGGUAUCAAACA